GAGCUAAUAAGCAACCUCUUCCUGUUGAAUCUGCUGGGAAAUGAGGUUAGAUUUUCACCCCCUUCUUUUUAGUCAGUUGGCCAGGGUGCCACGCCUGGUCUGUGAGCCCUCAGAUCCAUUUCUUGCCCUUCCUUCCUCUGCUCUAUAUUGCAAGAGACUGACCCCUGCAGGCUGAGUUUCCUAGGCUCCUGUGUCAGUUGGUUUCUGGCUGAGUUUGGUCAAUGGAAGGCAUCAAUGGGGACUGGAUGGUGGGAGGAGAGGAGAAGCCAUGCUAUUUCUCCUUGUGCUUCCUUGAAUCCAUAGAUGCUUUCCUGAUGGCAUCUGUGGCAACUCCUUCAUGCAUCCAGCCCUCACUGGAUUGGAACACUGUGAUUCCAGCUUCCACAGGGUGAAUUGGCUUCUGGAUUCUGAUGUCCCUGCAGGGAAGCUCACACGAGCCAGCAGAUCGGAGCCAAGUUGCAGAUGUAAUAUGGACAAACCUUAUGAAGAGACAGAAGGCAAGUCAAGGGAAUGGGAACUGUCAUUCUUCAACAUUGAAAUCACAACUGUAAUGAGGGGCACCUGGGUGGCUCAGUCGGUUAACUGUCUGCCUUCAGCCAGUGUCAUGAUCUCAGAGUCCUGGGAUGGAGCCCCAUACUGGGCUCCCUGCUCAGUGGGGAGCCUGCUUCUCCCUC